rnacentral:misc_RNA from 1 species
UGCUGCUGUGGGGUCACACCAGAGA